GAGCGCGCCUGUCUGUUCCUUGGGACCUCGGCUCUGGCUAAGUCCCCUUUUACACAGCAAAGGGAGAUGAUCUCCUCGCUCACGACCGACCGGUGAGCUCUUGGUCAAGCAGGCUGCUCCUUACCCUUGAUUAUGAAAGCCCGGCCCAGAGAGAGAGAGAUCUUGACCCAGAGGGAGGGGUUUCAGCAGGCAGGUGGCCACUCAAUUGUUCUACCACUCGCCUCCACCUUCCUUCUUUCGCCACGGUGGCAGGAGGGGAACCGAAAUUCUCCACGUACCCGGACCUCUUCCAAGUGGACCCCGCCCCCGAAAAGCUGCCUGGAAGGAGCUGUGCAGAUGAAGAGAACACUUUCACUCUUCAGCUCACACCAACGCAUCCUCCUUCAACAGGCAUCAGCAUAUGGGAGACGAGCAAAGACAGGGAAGGACAGAGCGCCCUGUUGUUGAUACAAUCCUCGGAACCAAAGAGCUCUUCGGUCCCCCAACCGUCCGUACCUGCUGGGUGAGGAGACUGAUGUGGGUGGAUGGGGAAUACUGCCUGGCCGCCUGCUUCUCAGCCAGCCGCUGGAGCUCGGCCGUAACCAUACUUGGGUUGUACCGCUUGCUGGAUGGAGAAUCAUCUUCUCCCUCUUUUUGUGUUUUAGCCACUCCCAAAUGCAGCUUGUUUGGAUGGCAUGACCCUGCUAAAAAAAAAAAAAAAAAAAAAAGAGAGAGAGAGAAAAGUUUUUAUCCACUUCGGACAAAAGCCCUGAAAAACUUAGGGUGAUGACAAAUAAAUGUCAGCCAACAGAUACUUGACUGAAUCCCAAGGAUCUUGACAACUUAAAGAGCAAUAAACUAUCUUUGAAUGCUCACACGAAUAAAACUAAAUCCUUACCAUGCGCAAGAAACUCUUCUUACCGCCAAGUUGUUACAAGCAUUUAUUAACUAUGUUUUUGUUUAUUAUGAAAGCUUCACACACACAAGAUUUCAUCACGGGCAGUGGGGAACAACCACUCCUACAAUUUACUAAUCAUAAUGAAUAAAAAAAUGUAGUUUUAAAACUCA